AUUAGAAACUGUGAAUUUGUAUUGCAAUGGCUUGUAGCAAUCGCAAGUACUCCCUUUGUUCCCAAAAGUUGUUCCUGUUUGAAAUCUUGUGACCAAAUCUAAACGGGAACAACAAGGAGUAGAGGGAGUAUAUAAUACUAGUCAAAAUUAGCUUAGGUUCAAUUGAAUAGCAGUGUUCUGUUAAACUUACUCUGGAAUUUUAGUACUAGUCUAGAUUAUUGUCCCUAUGUUUGGUUGUUGAAUGUCACUUGGAACACCAGACCAUAAGUUUUGGUGCUCGGAAUGGGUAUUGGAAUUUUGGAUUCUGAAAUUUGAUUCCCUAAGGCAGUUCAAAAAUGUACUACUAUACAAUGUACCACAAGCCAAUAUGCUCGUGAUUGUGAUUUCCGGGGUGUGGGGAUAACGAAUAAACGAAUUAUACAUUUAUUGAAUUAGACAGCAUGAUCCUCCCCCUUUAAAAGGUUACUUUAUGUUAGGUUUGGUUAUAUGUGGUGGUGCUUGUGAUCUCGAGUACUGACAUACCAAGUAUAUCUUUUUUUUUUACUUGUAUCAUCAAUUUGAUGGUGAUAUUUGAUCUUGAGAGUUGCACCUAGAUGUAUACAUCCCCUAUAUAUGUUGCAUAAGUUUUUAUUGUAUCGACAAUGUGAUAGUUAAUCAUGUUCCAUGAUCAAGUAUACUUCUACAUGUUUAAUGUUUAAAUACUGAAUUUUAACUUCGCAGAAAUCUAUUGCUUCUCCUGCACGUGGCAUUCUUGCCAUUGAUGAAUCGAAUGCAACUUGUGGGAAGAGACUGGCAUCAAUUGGCUUAGAUAACACUGAGAACAAUCGUCAGAUGUAUAGGCAGCUCUUACUGACAACUCCUGGUCUUGGCGAACACAUUUCUAGUGUCAUUCUGUUUGAGGAAACACUCUACCAGUCUACAACGGAUGGCAAGAAAUUGUCGACUGCUUACUUGAUGAGAAUGUCGUGCCUGUCAUCAAGGUCGACAAGAUGUUGGUUCCUCUGCCAGGCUCAAACAAUGAAUCUUGGUGCCAAGGGUUAGAUGGCCUGGCUUCAAGGUCUGCUGAGUAUUAUAAUCAGGGUGCUCGAUUUGCAAAAUGGCGUAUUCCAUGUGAACCUUUUGCUUUGGCAGUUAAGGAAGCUGCUUGGGGAAUCGCUCGUUAUGAUGCUAUCUCUCAGGUUCAUACUAAGCUUUCUUUGCUUUAUGUUCCAUUCUCCAUGCUUCAGUUUGAGGUGGAAGUGGUGGCCUGGUGGGUGGUGAAUUGGUGAUGGUCUGAUGGUAUAUGGUAGAUGUCUUUGUUCAACCUUUUGGAUCUAUUAUUCUAUAUCUGGCGUAUCAACUAGCUUCAAGACUAAACAACCUACAUACAAACUUUUCAACCUGUACUGAAGAAUGGAUCAGUUGCUUUCAGGCUGCCACUAUGCUCCCUGAAUUCUGCUUAAAUUGAAAUUAACCAUCAUGGACUCAAUUAUUAUGCAAAAUUGACAUGGACACCAUUGGAAAGGGGUUUAGGUGCCAAAGUAUACAGUUAAGAUGAUACAGCUUAAGAAAUAGUAGUUUGGCAAGUUUAGAGAUGUAGAGAAAUCACCAAUUCUUCUUCCCACCACGCUUCCCAACUCUCCUCACCCUUAACACCAAUUCCACCUCUAUAAAGAAGCCAAUCUGUCCAAUC